rnacentral:rRNA from 1 species
GUUGUGAUGAAUCGUGGACAAACUUAGUUGCUGCAAAUACAGUGAGAUCGGACAUUACAGUGAGACCGGAUAUCUCAUAUCAAGCUCUAAACUUGGCAAGGUAUUAUUUUCGAAGGAACCUAAACCAAAGCAUAAAAAGGAUGCAUACAUGAUUUUGAGAUACUUAUUGCAAAUUCCAACAAAGAGAAUUAAUGUUCAAAAGAGUAAAGGAAACUCCUCCAAAUCAGAUCCAUCAAGUGUUUAUGCUGAUCUAAUCUGUAUUAGAUAUUUUCUUGCUUCUUUAUAUUCACCUAUUUCUAAAGCCCUAACUUUUCUAUUUUAAUAAUAAAAUUAGUCAGGAUUUCUUUUUCUAUUCUUCCCUAUUUCAAAGUUUGUUUUUAUUUCUUCCAUAUAUUUAUUAAAAGCAUGUAAUAUUAUAUUACAUAAUAUUGGACUUAAUACACUUCCUUAAGGAGUACCGCCGACUAGGGAUCGGAUGUUGAUCAAAAUUUUGACACAUUCGGCACCUUACGAGAAAUCAAAGUUUUUGGGUUCUGGGGGGGAGUAUGGUCGCAAGGCUGAAACUUAAAGGAAUUGACGGAAGGGCACCACCAGGAGUGGAGCCUGCGGCUUAAUUUGACUCAACACGGGAAAUCUCACCAGGUCCAGACACAAUAAAGAUUGACAGAUUGAGAGCUCUUUCUUGAUUUUGUGGGUGGUGGUGCAUGGCCAUUCUUAGUUGGUGGAGUGAUUUGUCUGCUUAAUUGCGAUAACGAACGAGACCUUAACCUUUAAAUAGGUCCAUUAGCUUUUUGCUGAAAGGAACUUCUUAAAGGGACUAUUGAUUAAAAAUCAAUUGAAGUUUGAGGCAAUAACAGGUCUGUGAUGCCCUUAGACGUUCUGGGCCGCACGUGCGCUACACUGACGGAGGCAACGAGUUGACCUUAGCCGAAAGGUUUAGGAAAUCUAUAAACUCCGUUGUGAUGGGGAUAAAGCAUUGAAAUUAUUGCUUUUGAACGAGGAAUUCCUAGUAAGCGUAAGUCAUUAACUUGCGUUGAUUACGUCUCUGCCCUUUGUACACACCGCCCGUCGCUACUACCGAUGAAUGGCUUAGUGAGAAUUUUGGAGAGAUUUAUUUAGGGGCGACUCUUUUUAAAUUCCGAAGUUAUUCAAACUUGGUGAUUUAGAGGAAGUAAAAGUCGUAACAAGGUUUCCUUAGGUGAACCUGCGGAAG